CCCUCCUCCUGCAGGACAAUGCUGUGUGGUUGUGGCACAGGGGCCCUGGAAGCGAUGCAGGCAAAGCACCAACGCUCAGACUGGGGCAGCCGUGGCUUUCCCUACUGCAAGCAAAUAUAAAAAGAGAGCUGUGUGAGUCAGGCGCUUUUAAGCUCUGCCCAUGCUGAGCAGCCUCUGGACCUCGAGGUGCAGGGAGGCAUCGUGCUCCAGAUCUGAGAUGGGGAGAGCAGAUGGGCUCAGCGUUGCUGCGGCUGCUCCAGGUCCCGAGUGUGGUGAUGGGUUCCACACAAACCCCAUGUGGAAACUCUGGUGUCUGGGAGCUCCCUGGUACCCGGUGCUUGGUCCAUCACUGCUUUCCUUUUGUCUCCUGCUCCAAAGUGCUGCUGUGCUGGUGCUGAGCUCGCUGCUGGUGACCCAGCCCUUCCCACCCACGGAACGCGUCGGUCGGGAACCCAGAGCUGGAACAGCCUCGUGGGAAACACUGGGACGGAUGAAUCAAGGAGUAAUUUUCUGUUUAUGGAGCAAUUGCUGUGUUGUGCAAGCAGCCCUUUGUCAAGAGAGGGAAUUUACCAGCUGUUGGCAACCCACAUCAGAUCAUUUUAAACGAGUUAUUCAAAAUAUCAUUAAGGAUCCUCAGCUCGCGGAGAAGGAAAGAAAACCAAAACCUGCAGCUGAAGGCGGUGCCUGG